AUUGUGUUGUUGUCAGUGUGUAUUAUUGUGUUAUUGUCAUGGUGUUGUUGUCCUGGUGAAUCAUUGUGUUGUUGUCAGUGUGUAUCAUUGUGUUGUUGUCAUGGUGUAUCAUUGUGUUGUUGUUCUGGUGUAUCAUUGUGUUGUUGUCAUGGUGUAUCAUUGUGUUGUUGUCUUUGUGUAUCAUUGUGUUGUUGUUCUGGUGUAUCAUUGUGUUGUUGUCAUGGCGUAUCAUUGUGUUGUUGUCAUGGUGUAUCAUUGUGUUGUUGUCAUGGUGUAUCAUUGUGUUGUUGUCAUGGUGUAUCAUUGUGUUGUUGUCAUGGUGUAUCAUUGUGUUGUUGUCAUGGCGUAUCAUUGUGUUGUUGUCUUUGUGUAUCAUUGUGUUGUUGUUCUGGUGUAUCAUUGUGUUGUUGUCAUGGCGUAUCAUUGUGUUGUUGUCAUGGUGUAUCAUUGUGUUGUUGUCAUGGUGUAUCAUUGUGUUGUUGUCAUGGUGUAUCAUUGUGUUGUUGUCAUGGUGUAUCAUUGUGUUGUUGUCUUUGUGUAUCAUUGUGUUGUUGUCAUGGUGUAUCAUUGUGUUGUUGUCAUGGCGUAUCAUUGUGUUGUUGUCAUGGUGUAUCAUUGUGUUGUUGUCAUGGUGUAUCAUUGUGUUGUUGUCAUGGUGUAUCAUUGUGUUGUUGUCAUGGUGUAUCAUUGUGUUGUUGUCAUGGUGUAUCAUUGUGUUGUUGUCAUGGUGUAUCAUUGUGUUGUUGUCAUGGUGUAUCAUUGUGUUGUUGUCAUGGUGUAUCAUUGUGAUCUAUGUGGAUUUUACAUGUUUUUUACGUCUCAUCCUUACCUGCUGCUAAACAAAUCAAAUUCUAUCCAUAAAUCCCUUUCUAUAUCAUCAGUCACAAAGUGCUUUUACCGUAAGCCGUUCUAGAUCCCUAUGCAAGCAGCAGUAGAGUGGCAAGUCAACAUCUCCUUCGAAGGAAGAAACCUUGAGAGAAACAAGAGUCAUGGAGAAACUUAAUAUCUCCUCGUCUCAAAACCCACCGGAGGAGAAGAUCAGAGGGGAAGGACCUCUAGCUUUUUUCCAAUGUGUUUUUGAGAAGGAGACGAGGAGAGAGAGGACGCGAUCUCCCUCAUACGGGAGGAGGCCCAUCCUUCUCGCAGGUUGACGUUUAUUGUCAUUAAUCUUGCCCUGGAGGUAGAACUGUGUGAUUUUCAUUACAUGGGCCAGCUGCAAAGUCAAAAUAGGCUGUAUUGUAAAAAUUCAUGAAAACAAACAUUUGCUUUUUGGUCUUCAUUUAAGUUUGGGAUUAGUCAUUAGGGUUAGCAGUGUGCUUAAGGUUAGGUUCAAAUGUAUAUUUUCUGACUUUAUGGCUGUGCCAGCUAGUGACCACUCUGCAAGCUGCCUCCAGGGCAAGAUUCAUGACAAUAAAUGCCUAACUGCAUCCUCCUCUUGUUGUACUGGUUAGAAGCUAAUAAUACACAAGACCACUAGGUGGCGACAUCACACCAGGAAAACUAAUGGGAACCGUGAACACAGACCAAGGUGGUGACAUCACACCAGGAAAACUAAUGGGAACCGUGAACACAGACCAAGGUGGUGACAUCACACCAGGAAAACUACUUGCCAGGUUUCCUGGAGAAGUUCACUGACACUUUUUACAGAAUGACAUCAAUAACCUCAUGAAAACAGUGACCUGUGUUUUUAAAGACGUUAGUCGGUGUGUGUGUAUAUAUUUGUGUCCGUGCGUGUCCGUGCGUGUGGCGUGUCCGUGCGUGUCCGUGCGUGUCCGUGCGUGUCCGUGCGUGUCCGUGCGUGUCCGUGCGUGUCCGUGCGUGUCCGUGCGUGCGUGUGCGUGUCCGUGCGUGUCCGUGCGUGUCCGUGCGUGUCCGUGCGUGUGUAGGAGGGCACCAUGGAGAGAAUAUUCAUUUUUAGUCAUACACGAAACUGCACUCGUACUCUGUCUAACUGUGGGAGUCAUCAUCAUGUUUGUGGUUGAGUGAACCAGAGACCAAGCGGUUCUUCACAGAGUGUGUGUACAACUUAGAGCAUUAUUACUGACUGCUGUAGCCUCCAGUGGGAACAGGCUGAGUGGUGAGUUAGAACAGUUUAUGAGAAAGUGAUACACACUUCCCUUCAGACUCAUCCAGGGGCCAUCCCAGAGACCCCUUCUCCUUCUGUCUCCUGAAAUAUUAGCCUCAUCCAUCCCAGAUACCCCUUCUCCGUCUCUCCUGAAAUAUUAGCCUCAUCCAUCCCAGAUACCCCUACUCCGUCUCUCCUGAAAUAUUAGCCUCAUCCAUCCCAGAUACCCCUUCUCCUUCUGUCUCCUGAAAUAUUAGCCUCAUCCAUCCCUGAUACCCCUACUCCGUCUCUCCUGAAAUAUUAGCCUCAUCCAUCCCAG
ensembl:lncRNA